CAGCAGCCGCGGUAAUACGGAGGGUGCAAGCGUUAAUCGGAGUUACUGGGCGUGAAGCGUGCGUAGGCGGUUCGUUAAGUCUGUUGUGAAAGCCCCGGGCUCAACCUGGGAAUGGCAAUGGAUACUGGCGAGCUAGAGUGUGUCAGAGGAUGGUGGAAUUCCCGGUGUAGCGGUGAAAUGCGUAGAGAUCGGGAGGAACAUCAGUGGCGAAGGCGGCCAUCUGGGACAACACUGACGCUGAGGCACGAAAGCGUGGGGAGCAAACAGGAUUAGAUACCCCGGUAGUCCCUGUCUCUUAUAC
rnacentral:rRNA from 1 species